rnacentral:rRNA from 1 species
CCUACGGGAGGCAGCAGUGAGGAAUAUUGGUCAAUGGGCGAAAGCCUGAACCAGCCAAGUCGCGUGAGGGACGACGGUCCUAUGGUUUGUAAACUUCUUUUGUCGGGGAACAAAGGUGUCCACGGGUGGGUGGAUGAGUGUACCCGAUGAACAAGCAUCGGCUAACUCCGUGCCAGCAGCCGCGGUAAUACGGGGGAUGCAAGCGUUGUCCGGAUUUAUUGGGUUAAUGGGGUGCGUAGUGGGACAGUAAGUUAGGAGGUAAAAAUGGGGUGCUAAACGCCGUACAGCCGUUGAAACUGGGAGACUUGAGUGGGCGAGAGGUAAGCGGAAUGCGUGGUGUAGCGGUGAAAUGCAUAGAUAUCACGCAGAACUCCGAUUGCGAAGGCAGCAUACCAGCGCCCAACUGACACUGAGGCACGAAAGCGUGGGGAUCGAACAGGAUUAGAUACCCUUGUAGUC